rfam:Drosophila sechellia strain Rob3c scaffold_3795 genomic scaffold, whole genome shotgun sequence.
ACUUAGCUAAAACGUUUGGUUCAAAACAUUUGCUUGCUGUCUUGGCAUAACAUCAAUAAAGGCAUAAACAUCGCAAAAUAAUGGUUAUAAUUAAAUGGCUAUGAGGAUGGUUUUAGUACGUAGGCGUUGCGGAACUUCGGUUCAUAUAGAGCAAUGAGAUCGUGCAAUCCAAAUGCCUCGCCAUCCAAUUAGU